UACGUAGGUGGCAAGCGUUGUCCGGAUUUACUGGGCGUAAAGCGCGCGCAGGCGGUCAUGUAAGUCUGGUGUUUAAUCCCGGGGCUCAACCCCGGAUCGCACUGGAAACUGUGUGACUUGAGUGCAGAAGAGGAGAGUGGAAUUCCACGUGUAGCGGUGAAAUGCGUAGAGAUGUGGAGGAACACCAGUGGCGAAGGCGACUCUCUGGGCUGUAACUGACGCUGAGGUGCGAAAGCGUGGGGAGCAAACAGG
rnacentral:rRNA from 1 species